rnacentral:rRNA from 1 species
AUUGAACGCUGGCGGCAUGCUUUACACAUGCAAGUCGAACGGUAACAGGGUGCUUGCACCGCUGACGAGUGGCGAACGGGUGAGUAAUGCGUCGGAACGUGCCGAGUAGUGGGGGAUAACGCAGCGAAAGUUGUGCUAAUACCGCAUACGUACUGAGGUAGAAAGUGGGGGACCUUCGGGCCUCACGCUAUUCGAGCGGCCGACGUCUGAUUUGCUAGUAGGUGAGGUAAAGGCUCACCUAGGCGACGAUCAGUAGCGGGUCUGAGAGGAUGAUCUGCCACAACGGAACUGAGACACAGCCCAGACUCCUACGGGAGGCAGCAGUGGGGAAUUAUGGACAAUGGGCUAAAGCCUUAUACAGCCAUGCCGCGUGUCUGAAGAAGGCCUUCGGGUUGUAAAGGACUUUUGUCAGGGAGGAAAUCCCUAGUGCUAAUAACACUGGGGGAUGACAGUACCUGAAGAAUAAGCACCGGCUAACUACGUGCCAGCAGCCGCAGUAA